AUAAAUGUUGUGACGAUUAAGCUUCAGUCUUAGACUCUCUCCUCACUCUCCCUUCACCUAUCUCUCGCCGGAAAUCGCUCCGCCUUGCCAGAGGCGGCGGAGCUCGGCCAAAAUCUAGAAAACGACGACAUGAUAGCUCGUCUAGCCGUGGGCUACCACAGUCUCAUAUCAAAUUCGCUCACGGAAGCUUAACCGGCAUGUUAACUCGAAAGGGGAAAAUGAAAAUCUAAACGCACAACGGCGCAAUCAUGAAGCGGUCAGAUGGACACAGAGGUUAAGUCGAUAUCAUUGAGCAUCACGGAGCAUGGUUCAGUAAGAAUGAAAGAGAAAUACGAAGGGCUCGAGGCUUACCGGUACUGGCGAUUCUUCAAGAUGCGAAUGUGGAAAGAAAAUACCAGAGGAAAAUAGCUUCACUUCAUAGCUUAUCAACUACUCAGUUAGGACACGGCUGGACCGGCGAAUGCGAAGACAUGGUCUUGGAUUGUACUACGAAGUAAAGAGUUGCUUUGGAUAUGGUACAGGUCUGAAGUGUAGGAAUGGUGCGAUAGGGACAAAGUCAUGAAGAUGAAAAGACUUGAAGAUAAUAAAAUAUAGGUCAUAGGAUCAGGUCUAGAAAUUUGGUUCUUUUAUAAUGAAUUUUGUAAGGAAUGGAUAGACUUGAUGAAUGUAUGGACUAUAAACAUGUGCACUGGUUUUUGUUUGAAUUAAAUAUGGCCGAUGGUUUUGUAUAUGGACUGUUUGUAUGAGACUUAUGUUGUCAUUUGAAAUAAGUUUGGAACUUGAAAGAACGUGAAUAAUGUUGAACUUGAAUGAUGUUGCCUUUGUGUCUUGUACCUUGAAUUGUAAGAAACUCUAUAUAAAUUGAAUCUUUCUUCUGAAUUUAACAAGAGUCGAGUCUUAAUAUCACGGCCAAACUCAUGUCCUUGAAUCAUUAGAUUCACGAAAUUGCUUGAACAAACCUUGAAUCAUUUAGACUUGAUAAAGUUACUUGAAUGCAUACUUCAAAUUCAAUUCUAACUCAAUAGGAUCUUAAUUCUUCAAAUCAUGUUAACUUGUUUGACAAGCAACAAACGAUUGAAAGAAUAGUGCUUAUAUAUUAUCAAUUCUCUAGCAACACUUUGAAGAAUCUUUGAAGAUGCAUUAGAAUUGAAGUAUAGAAAUAAUGAAAAUCUUAAGUCCAUCCUCCAAUUAAUGAACUCCAAACACACUUACGCAAUGAGCCAAGAACCUUAUUUUUCCUCGAGAUACACACUUGAUGUCUUUUUUCUUGGAGAUCUUGAUGAAGAUACUUAUUGUAGCUUGAUAAUCUUGAAUGAAGAGGAGAGCCUCAAAACCAAAGAGAAACCUUUAUUACUAAGAUCCUUGAUCUCAAUGCCAAGUUAUUGAUUAAUGAUGCAUGAUGUGUUAGAUGAUCUAAUAGAGGUAUGCAGAUGAAAUGCGAAGCUUAAGCCAUAUA